GUCACCCCUAUGGCCAUCUGCAAGACAGUCAGACAGAUCAUCAAAUCGGCUUGAAAACCUGAGGGAUUUUACUUUGCCUUAAAAACAAAAACUGCAAAACCAACAUACUGCUUUCUCCUUCUGUGUAUCUAGUCAUCAUUACCUGACUGAACAAACACUUGUUGCCCACACAAAUUACAUGAGAAAAGAAAAAGAAAGGGAUCAUACCUGUCAAAGGCAAAAGACUUCCUUAAAAUCUACAAGUAUGUCAGAUUCAGUGACUCAAUGAGUUUUCUCCCUCCUUGAAGACUACACUCAUGGCUUAUCUGUCCCAAGUUCCAAACCAAGUUGAGCAGCUUCCUGUCAAAUGAGCCAAUGCUACUGGAUGAAUUGACCUUGACGUGACAGCUGUGAUGCCAAAAGCCACAAGCUAACUGGUAACAAUUGUUAUGUUGCUUCUUUUCCAGAACACAGAGUUCCAGCCUGCCGAAUUAUUUUUCCUGGGGAACCAUUCCAUCCCAUGUGUUUGAUGAUCAUUACCUUUCUCUGAGGUGUUUUCAGAUCUAAUGGAACAUUUUCAAGAUGCAAGCACCAGAACAGCACGUAGUAUUCCAGCUGUGAACAAACUGUGGCAUUAUAGACUGUCAUAAUUAUAUUUCUGUUUUGUUCUUUUUUUCCUUUCCUAACAAUUUCAAACAUUUUCAUUUUUGAGCUUCUGCCAGGCACUGAGUUUUUAUGAAACUGUCACAAUCCCCAGCCUUCACUUCUGAGGCAGCACAGAGCUCAUCACUGUAUUCAUGAAGCCCAGAACACUUUUGCUCACAGACAUCAUUUCACAUUUAUCUACACUAAAUUUCCCCUGCCGUUUUGUUAGCCAGACACUUAGUCUGAAGGCCCAUCUACAGUUCUAUGAGUUCAGCCCUCACACUUCCUACUUUGGGUAAACAUGUAUCCUCAGCAAACUUUUCCACCUCACUGCUUCUAAGACCUUUUUGCAAUCGAUUUUUGAGGUUGUUAAGAAGAAUCAGCCCCCUGCAGUAUUCCACUGUCUUCUCCAAAAGAGUGUUUUGCUUACCACACGCAGUAUUUGUCACUAUGUGUUUGAAACGUCACAGUUAUAUUUGUAUUGUUUGGUAAGGAACACAGACUCCUUCAGUGAUAUUAGCAAAUAAAAUCAAUA